UCCUUGGUGGAUCAGAGGGUAAAGCGUCUGCCUGCAAUGCAGGAGACCCAGGUUCGAUCCCUGGGUCAGGAA
rnacentral:tRNA from 1 species